rnacentral:rRNA from 1 species
UACGGAGGGAGCUAGCGUUGUUCGGAAUUACUGGGCGUAAAGCGCGCGUAGGCGGUCUAUUAAGUCAGGGGUGAAAUCCCGGGGCUCAACCCCGGAACUGCCCUUGAAACUGCUAGACUAGAAUCUUGGAGAGGCGAGUGGAAUUCCGAGUGUAGAGGUGAAAUUCGUAGAUAUUCGGAGGAACACCAGUGGCGAAGGCGGCUCACUGGCUCGAUACUGACGCUGAGGUGCGAAAGCGUGGGGAGCAAACAGG